AGCAGUAAAUUUCAGAUCAUAUACCGAUAACCUUAGCAACAUUUGCCAAACACUAGUGUACACUAGCGAAAAAUUAAAAUAAUUUCCGCUUAUCUCAUUACAUACAUACUGUUCUCGCAAAUGUAGAUAAUAAUUCAAGCAAAUAUGAUGUUUUGAAGACAGCCAAGCCUAUAAAGAAUCCAAUUUUUCCCAAAUAUGGGGUCUGAACUUAUACACCAACGCAAAAACCGCAAGAAAAAGCAACAGCUCAGGAUAAGAGAGAGAAUCUAGUACACCGGAGGAUGGCAACAGCCACCAGAUCGUCAUCACAAACCGAGCCACGUCAUCACAAACCACGUCAUCGCAACCGGGGCAUAAAUACGGACUGCGCCCGAGAAAUCGCAUCAGAACAGUGUAAGCGUUCAAGCAAACUACUUCUGAAGAUGCAAGCCAUUCGUGCUUGCGAAACGUCAAGAAGAAAUUGUACUGAACGACGGCCUAGAAACCCGAAAAA
rnacentral:lncRNA from 1 species